AUGAUUCUCGAAGAUGAGAGAGGCGUGAACUUGGAGUUCUUCUACGACAAUGUGGGUAGCCGUGUUAAACCAGCUAGAGACCCUAAUCGCAUUAGAGCAUUUCUUCAGACUUACCGGGAGAUUGAAGAUGUAAACAUCCACUUUCAACUUCAGGAGAAUCUCGUUGAACACCAUUUGGCAAAGGGAACGGCAGUAACACAUUUCAUUUUUGCAUUCAUUUCAUUUAAUUCAUGUCUGAUUUGUAUUCGGGACAAGUUUUGUAUUGAAUUAUUUAGUUUGCUUCGGUGA
rnacentral:rRNA from 1 species